rnacentral:rRNA from 1 species
UACGUAGGGUGCGAGCGUUGUCCGGAAUUAUUGGGCGUAAAGAGCGUGUAGGCGGCUCGGUAAGUCCGCUGUGAAAGCCCGGAGCUCAACUCCGGGUCUGCAGUCGAUACGGGCAGACUUGAGUGUUGCAGGGGAGACUGGAAAUUCCUGGUGUAGCGGUGAAAUGCGCAGAUAUCAGGAGGAACACCGGUGGCGAAGGCGGGUCUCUGGGCAACAACUGACGCUGGAGGAAGCGAAAGCCGUGGGGAGCGAACAGG